CCUGGCGGCAGUAGCGCGGUGGUCCCACCUGACCCCAUGCCGAACUCAGAAGUGAAACGCCGUAGCGCCGAUGGUAGUGUGGGGGCUCCCCAUGCGAGAGUAGGGAACUGCUAGGC
rnacentral:rRNA from 1 species